UUCAGCUCGAGGAUGAUUUAGCCUGUAAAUGAGGGAGGGUUAACGAUGUGGCUGCAGUUGACACCGGAGUGAGUUCCUCAAGAGCGUACGUCUCACCAGCAUUAGCCGGCUGAGGAAGAGGAGGACAGAGAGAAAGGAUGACGCAUAGGACCGGAACAGUUCUGAGAGGAGAAAGGAAUACACCUAGGAAGCAAACCUUUAGCAAUCGAGCGCACUCAUAUUUAUAGAAAUGGAAUAAAAUGUGAGAAGACUGAAACUAAGGGAUUAUUUUCCUUAAAGCAAACAUCAAUUAUGUUUACAACCACAUGAAGAAGGAGCAAGCGAACAGCAACUCAAGGCAGCAAUGGAAUGAGGCAGCCUCCAUUAGAGACGCAGGCAGCCAUUGCUCGGUGCUUGGAGGAGGAAAAAUCAUAAUGCGAUUGACCUCGCCUCGAGCAACCCUGGCCUGGAGAUUCCCCAGCAGCUCCUUUCAAGGUGACAAAAUACCAUUUGCAGCCUUUUCGCUUCAGUAGUAGCUCCCUCCCCAAAACUUGGUAGCAAUUUUUUCUUCUCUACAUUUCUCCAGCCUCGACUUGCCUUUAUUUUUGUCACUGGGAGCAAGCCAAGGGCGAGAAAUGAUCUCUUCCCACCAAGUUGUCCAGGAAGAAAGCCCACCUUAUCAUUAAUUACAUUAUCCAGCAGCCUCUUGCUCCUCAAAGUGUGGUCCUUGGGUCAGCAGCAUUGGCACCGUCUGAGAGCUCAUUACAAAUGCAGAAUCUCGGGCCCCAUUCCAGAGCUCCAGAAUUGGAAUCUGUAUUUUAAUAAGAUGCCCAAGUGGUCUGUGUGCACAUUCAAUUUGAGAAGUGCUUGUCUAACCCGCAGGACAUCCUGUAUAAGGUAACCAGGAGACUAGGUCUCACCCUACCCAUGGAACUUCCACGAUGAAAAAAACGUGGUGGCCAUUAGUAAGGAGACAAGUGCAGUCUCAAUCAGGAAAAACUUUCACCAAACCUAAUCAUCAUUGGAAUAAAGAUGAUCGAAUCGAGAGAACUCCAAGGACUCAGAGGAAGACGGAGCCACAACAUGGCAGGAGCCUGGGUUCCUGAGCCAGCAAUCUGAGAGGAGGAUCCCAGGAGAGUCACCGGAGUGAGAAUACACGUGGCACCCUCUUACUGUCUUUCCGGUGCAGGAAGCCUUCAUCUUUGAGUCCUCUGCUCGAAGCUCUGUGUCUGGAGCACAGCGGGAUCAUCAGAAUACCUGAUGGGUGAAGCUCCUCUGCGCUGCAUGCAGUGUAUCCGAAUGCCCGGGCUGAUGAACUCUUUGCACUUCAUUCCCUUGAUUCCAUGUUUGACAGACGUAAACACAGCGGUGCCUCUGGCAACAUGAAGCAUAUUUACUUUCGUCCAGUAACAUCACAGCCCUUCUUCUCUUGGAAACUGCUUCGUCCUUUCCUUCAAAUGUAGCUCUUGCAGGGCCACCAUGUUUUUAUAUCACCCUGUUCCCAAAGCUAGAGUUGAAUGGUACAAAAGCGGCCACUGGACCCAAACCAGGACAAUGCAAGCUCUUCCUCUUGCCUUUUCUAGUUGGCACUGAGUACAAAGCUCCCAAUCAGGUAGUGAAAACUACAGAAUAUGAUACUUAAGAGCAAUUAGUAGCCGUUUUUCCUGACUCAUGGAGGAAACAAACAAAGCCAACAGGCAGAGAUAAAAGACGAAAAAUAAUUUUAAUAGCGUUUGUAGUGGACUUUGUCAGCGUCCCACCCAUAUCCCUCUGAGACCUCCUUUAACCAUUUCUGUGCACCUCUUCCCCAGCUUGUGUGCAUUUGCUUCUAAUAGCCUACAUCUGUGACGCUAUUAGGACAACAGCUUUUGCAUUACCGGAGCAUCUCUGUGUUUUGGCAUUUAAUGGUCCACACCUGUGACUCUUUUACGACGCCAUCUUUUUGGCUAAUGGAGCUUCUUUGCCCUGACACGUGAAGCCAGAAGUGCCUGGGUUUACAUUUCCCCCAGGGUAGGGUUGGAAGUUUAAUCAAUAGCUGACUGGUGCAGUCGUAUGAAGACCAAGCUCCCUUGCCACCAGUUGGCGCGAACUCUGAGUUACAAUUUACGCUUUGGAGCUCCCCCGCGGGAUCAGGCUGAAGCUGGGACUUGGCUUGGAAUAGCAUACUUGUUUGGCUUCUUCCCCUUUCCCGUCCUGCUUCUCACACUACCUCCCUGGUUUCUCCAAAGAACACGAAAAGCAGAAACUAAGACAGCAUUCAGGUGAGUCACUGGUCCCUCUGGGACUGUUCAAUAUAUCUCUGAA